AUUGAACGCUGGCGGCAGGCCUAACACAUGCAAGUCGAGCGGAUGAAGGGAGCUUGCUCCUGGAUUCAGCGGCGGACGGGUGAGUAAUGCCUAGGAAUCUGCCUGGUAGUGGGGGAUAACGUCCGGAAACGGGCGCUAAUACCGCAUACGUCCUGAGGGAGAAAGUGGGGGAUCUUCGGACCUCACGCUAUCAGAUGAGCCUAGGUCGGAUUAGCUAGUUGGUGGGGUAAAGGCCUACCAAGGCGACGAUCCGUAACUGGCCUGAGAGGAUGAUCAGUCACACUGGAACUUAGACACGCUCCAGACUCCUACGGGAGGCAGCAGUGGGGAAUAUUGGACAAUGGGCGAAAGCCUGGUCCAGCCAUGCCGCGUGUGUGAAGAAGGUCUUCGGAUUGUAAAGCACUUUAAGUUGGGAGGAAGGGCAGUAAGUUAAUACCUUGCUGUUUUGACGUUACCAACAGAAUAAGCACCGGCUAACUUCGUG
rnacentral:rRNA from 1 species